UAAGUGGUUAAUCUAAUCAACAAAUAUGGAUUCUGUAUCUUUAUAUAACGUACAAGAAAUUGGCCGAGAUUGACUUAAGACACUUUCACUCUAAACAUGUGCAAGGAAAAGUCAAUCAUAACGACUUAACUCUGGAUAAGCAAUGUAUUGUAUUGUACAUCUUUUAUGUGUAUAGUGUUACAUUUAUGUGUACAGCGUUACAUUUUGCAUGUUGAAUACACCACAUUCAUUUUUGAUUUUCUAAAAGUGUUUUGUUACUGGCUUGCGUCACGUGGUUCUUCAUCACCUUCCUCUACAUUAUUAGGUUCAUCGAUUAUCUCUUCAUGGUAUGGCAAAGGUCCAAUAUCUUCAACAUCAUUGGAGAUAUUUAGAUUCAAGAAAAACGUGUGAUACACCGGGGGAAUAAACAGUAACAUAUCGAUGAUAUCUUGCAUUUUCAACUCCCCAAC
rnacentral:lncRNA from 1 species